CACAUGUGUAUCCAGUACAUUAGCCGGGUUAAGUGAGUGGGAUAUACUGGAGCAUUCCACUAUAGGAAGUGAUCACUUCCCUUUAAUUUGCAAAAUAGCUGUAGAAGUAAACAGAGAGGUGAAUUGGUGUCCGGGGAAGUGGCAUUGGAAAGAGGCAGACUGGGAAUUGUUUAAUGAAGUUUGUGAAACCAGGGUGGGCCAGGUACAGAUCACAGGAGAGGUCAAUGACAUGGCAAGAAGCCUAUCUGAUGUGUUUUUGACUGCAACUGCAGCUGCAGUACCCAGAUCCCAAGGGAGAGGUAGGAGGAAGAUAGUACCAUGGUGGACCAAGGAGUGUACUGAAGCAAUCCAAACACGCAAUAAAGCAUUUAGGGUGUUGCGAAUUACGCUCACCCCUGAGAAAGUGGUGGAAUAUCAGAAGGCAAGGGCCAAGGCUAGGAAAGUUAUUAAAGAUGCAAAAAGGAAAUGUUGGAGGGAAUACUGCAGUCAACUUGGAACAUAUGUCCAGAUAGAACAGGUGUGGGGUAUGGUUAAAAAGAUGAUGGGGGUAUUUAGAGGGAGAUCUAUUCCUGUUUUGGUUGAGGGAAAUAGUGUGGCAAGCUCAGCAAAAGAUAAGGCAGAGCUAUUGAAGACUGCAUUUGCCAAAGCUCAUAGCACAGAUAACCUGGAAGAACCGUUGGUGGAGCGGAGACAAGCAACCCUGAGAGAGUGGGGAAAUGUAUGUGAAAGGCAAACAGAUUGCAACAGCAUUAUGGAUAGGGAUAUCACAUUAUUUGAGCUUAAAUGUGCCCUCAUCAAUACCUCCAAUACUGCGCCAGGUCAAGAUGAAGUGUGCUACAUAAUGUUGAAGCAUGUAUCUGAUGAGGUGCUUAAAAAGGUGGUGGAAGUAUUUAAUAGAAUAUGGUCAGAAGGAAAGGUGCCAGAUGUGUGGAAGCAUUCACUUGUCAUCCCAAUAGCCAAGCCAGGGAAAGACCCUUCAAAGGCAGCUAGCUACAGGCCUAUUGCUCUUACUUCUAACAUGUGCAAACUGAUGGAGAGAAUACUGGUUAACAGGUUAACAUACUUUAUGGAAAGCAAGGGUCUAUUUGCAGGAUACCAAAGUGGGUUUAGGAAGGGG
rnacentral:lncRNA from 1 species